AGCAGAGAAAGCCCAAAGGGAGGGAAUACGUAGGAUGGCAACAAUCUUUUCUAGGAAUGAUUUGUCACAGGAGGAAAUCUUCAAAACUGACUUCAGGACCUUUGGUGUUGAUUACAAUUUGCAUGUAGUGAGGAAUCUUUGAGGAUCUGACAUGACAAAUCACUACAUGACAUCACUACAUGUCAUAAAUCUGACAGCUAUAUGGAGGAUAGGCUGAAAGUGAGGAGUUCGGAAGCAGGGAAUUCAGGAGGCUAUUGUAAAAGCUCAAGAAAGAAGUAAUAAAAAAGAAGAAGUUGUAAGUGGAGCCCCAAGACUUUAAAGGAGGAACAGAUCUGUAACAUUAUGGAUGGACAUAGGGCAACUUGAAGGGACAUGGAGCUUGAAGGAAAGAAGCCUAAGAAGUAUCAGCCUGAGAGAUGAGAAAAAUGACCUUGGCAUUAGCUGGGAUGGGGUACACAGCACCCGGUGGCCCUAGUGAUUGGUUCAAGAAUGGAUGUGUAACCCAAACUAGGUCAAUGAUACUGCUUUGGGAUUUUGCUGAAAGUGUUGAGAAAGAGGUUUGCUCUUUCUGCAUUAGCUGCCGGGCUGGUAGAACGUACAUGAAGACACAGGUGGUACCCCUGCCAUGAGAUUUGGGGGUGGUCAGUCUGCCUGAGAGUGAAUCUACUACCAUCAAGGAGCAUGGAGUCCAGAGAUGGAGAGACAUAAUUUUUGGAUGACAUCAUGUGAGUGCUUACGUCUAGUUAUAGCAGAAAUCACAACUGGACUUCUCAGUUAAGUGAGUUCAUUUUACUGCCUAAACCAAUUCAAGCUGAGCUUCUGCCCCUUGUAACUGAAAGAGAGCCCACCAUUAUCUUCUCAUUCCCCACAUUCCCAUAUGCCGUCAUGUAAUGUGAAUAACAUUUCCUGUAAGGUUGUCUUUAUCUCCACCACUGAAGCUAUUACUUUCUCAAUGGCCAAGACCAUGUCUCUGUGUUCCCAGUGGUGCCAUGCACAAUGGUUGUGCCCUUGAUCUCUGUUUAGUAAACAUUUACUGGAAUCUCAGUAUGUGGAGACAUAUACAUACAUUACAUAAGAAAUGAACUAUGCUUACCUAGAUUUAUGUUCAAAAUCAAAACUGUGGCCAUAAAUGUUUCCAAGAGCAACACUCUUCCCAUCAGACAGCUAAUUACUACAAUCACUGUCUGCGCAGCUGUGCCCAUAGUCGAUGCUUUGCCGCUGCUGCUGUCACUGCUGCCACUGCUGCUGCUGCCACCAUUGGUGCCACCACCACUAGCGACAGACUGUGCUGGUAGACUCAGAGUCCCAGAUUCCACCCGGGCAAUAUCAUCCAGUAUAAAUUCAAUCUUAUAAUUUUUUCCUAGGAAGAAACAUCAUUAUAGAAUUUGACUUCCUUUUAUAAUUUGUUUUCACACAGACCCAGUUGGGUUUUCAUUGACUUAAAAGUACUGUAUAAUUCCUAAUGAAGUAUUUUUGGAAAUUGAGCCAAAUAGAUUCAUUGAAGUAUAAACAUGCAUAGAGGAGGUCUCAGAGUUAGAGUUCCAACUGCCCAUCAACUGUGGGCAGGGGAAAUCUGGCUAGAUUUUCUUUCUGUAGCAUCAGUACUUGCUUCUUAGGGAUAUCUUCCUAGUGCUCAGGACUAGAGAGAGGCUGCUUAAAAUGAGGGACAGUAGGGAAAGGAAGUAAAAAUACUGAGCCUCUGUUCCAUCCCUGGAUACUUGACCUGGAGUAGAGAAGCCUCAGCCUCAGCUGAGGGAGAUGGGGGUGGAUACCGAAAUACUAAACUUUUUAUUUUGAAAAGUUUCAAUCACAGAAGAGUUGGAAGAAUAGUACAACAAAAACCAUAUGCCCUCCAUUUUGAUUCAACAAUUUUACUGUUUUUCACACUUCCUUUAAGUCAGAUGCUAUUUUUGUGUUGCACGAUUGUGACCCUUUCUUCUUACUUCCAUGCAGACAAGCUUAAGGAAACUUUUUAGAUAUUUUUAGAAUGUGGAACAUAAAAAGCUUAUCCAAAUAUUUUUUAAUCCAUAUGUUAAAUCUCCCCGGUUUUGAACAUGAGAUAACCAAUAUAUUUUUCCUUGACAUAAUUGCUUCUACAACUCCUGCUGUCAUUAAUAAUGGCUACCACACCGAGUUUGCAAUUCUUGUCCAACCCUGAAGUUUUCAUUCCUCUCCUUCUAUUAUCUUUUUUUUAAAAAAAUAAUUUCUGUUUUCUUUCUUUUCCUCUCUGUCCCUUCAUCCCUCCCUCCCCCUCCUUCUUUCUUCCCUUCCCUUACCUUCCAUCUCCUUUCCUCUCCUUCCCUUCCUUUCCCUUCCCUUCCCUUUCCUUUCCUUUCUUUCAGAGUAUAGUUAGAUCUUGACCUCAUUGUGCUUUCACAAACAAUGCCAGUGCAUUCUGUAACUUUCAAGACAGACGGUCCUUGUUCUAUAGAAUUUUCUGCCACCAUUACAAUCCAUGACAAUGGCGUAUUUAAGUCUUUCCUUUUUCAGUUUGAAAAAAACUGAAGUUUCGUGGCAGGCGUAUUUUUUUCUUAAAAUGUACUGUAUUUUCAGUAUGUUUUAUAUGUACUGUGAGGAAGCCCAAGAGAGCCUUGUGGAGAGGCCACUCCCUGCAGGAGAACUGAAGAACCUGGCUAAAAUCCAGAAUCAAAACCUUAGGGAUAUGAUUUCAGUCAAGCUAUCCCAGCUAAAGCUCCAGACAUCACUGAGCAGAUAUAAGCCAUCCCUGUCCAAAUUCCUGGCCCACACUGUUGUGAGCAAGUGAAAUGGUUGUUGUUUGAGCCAUUAGAUUUGGGGCUGGUGUGUUAUGUAGCAAUAAGAACAGAAACAAGCACUUUAUAUCAUAUAGGUUGCCAGGUAAACAUGUCCCAAAUGUUGUUAUCCACUAGGAAUACUAUUUUUUAUCCAGAUUGCUCAAAGAUGCAGAUUCAGCUGUUUACUUUAUUCUUCUUGCACCCUUUUCUCACUAAAUUCUCACAUCCCCAUUUUCUGUGUGAGAAACCACAACCCAUACCUCCUCUCUAUCUUGGCCCCUGCUUUGCUUCUUAUUGAGCUAAAAGUAGAAGAGGGUGUGGGGCCACACUGUCAGGCUCUCGGCUGAUCUGCAAGGGGAUUUACCACUUCCAGUAACUAUGGGGGUUGCCUACCAGAAAGAGUUACAAAAACGAUGCUUUGUUAUUUUUUUCUCAUGUGCUUUGUUGUUAUUACAAUUUUAUAGUGGUUAAUCUACCAAUUAGAUAACUGAUCUAAAGAUAAUGAAGAGAUGACUGUCGUUGGUGUUCCUUACUAUAUACAACCAGAGAACUGAGACCGUACACUUGAUGAAAGUAAGAAAGGAGGACAGCAGGUUGCUGAGAAAAUGGCUGUCCUGGCUGUGCUGCCACAGGCUGAGUGAUCACUGAGAGUGAGGACACAAAGGCCACAUGAUGAACAGGAAAUGCAAACCUUUCAACUGGUUGGGCAGUCACCUGUAAAUUAAUGGUCAUGAGUGAUGAAGUGGUUUUCACAUGAUAAAUUACAGUCAGUAGCAAAUUCAUCUUAGGCCAAGUGUAAUAUGUAAUAAUAAGCGUAAAAAUAUGCUUAAUAUGUGAAAUUAAUUUUCUUAAAAUAUUUCCCCCUGAUCAAAUUCAUGAAGCACUGUUAUAAAUAUUCAAAGAAAAUCACAUUUUAUACCAAUAAAUAAUUUUUUAGAAGAUA